CGGAACGGGUGAGUAAUGCGUGACCAACCUGCCCCAUGCUCCAGAAUAGCUCUUGGAAACGGGUGGUAAUGCUGGAUGCUCCAACUUGACGCAUGUCUUGUUGGGAAAGUGUUAGUGGCAUGGGAUGGGGUCGCGUCCUAUCAGCUUGUAGGCGGGGUAAUGGCCCACCUAGGCUUCGACGGGUAGCCGGCCUGAGAGGGCGGACGGCCACAUUGGGACUGAGAUACGGCCCAGACUCCUACGGGAGGCAGCAGCC
rnacentral:rRNA from 1 species